rnacentral:tRNA from 1 species
GCUCGGGUGGUGGAAUUGGUAGACACGUACGCUUGAGGGGCGUAUGCCUAUGGCGUGGGGGUUCAAGUCCCCCCUCGAGCACCA